GUCAUCAGUUGUCUUAGUUUGUCAUGGGAAAAAUAAUAUACAAGGUCAAGACCAGUGAUUCUUUCCCGAAAGAGGAUGUGUUGGUAUUUCUGAAACUGGCUGGUCCUUUGCAUCACUAACUGCUGUGUAAUUCUAAGCCUUGGCACAACUAUGAUCAAAUCACAACGAUGAUUCAGUCCACAAGACAGUGCAUGCCUAUGUAAUGAACUCCAUUAAAGCUGUACAGAAGUUCAGACCAGGAACUAUGAAGCCCUGCCCAGAGACUACGUUCACACUAGUCACUGAUCAUCUUUGUAAAGCAAACCACAAAAGUUGGUACAUUUAUUAUUCGUCACACAAUAAAAAGUAAUUAUCAUACAACUAUAUUACCAUUGAACAACUUAAUUAAAGAAGUGGCCUAACUGUGUUGCCUUUUCUAUCAAAUGGCCUAGCUCUGAAAAGAUGGCAGAAUAUUUUGGGUUUUUUGCUG
rnacentral:lncRNA from 1 species